rnacentral:rRNA from 1 species
GACGGGACCCGCACAAGCGGUGGAUGAUGUGGAUUAAUUCGAUGCAACGCGAAAACCUUACCUACCCUUGACAUGUCUGGAAUCCCGAAGAGAUUUGGGAGUGCUCGCAAGAGAACCGGAACACAGGUGCUGCAUGGCUGUCGUCAGCUCGUGUCGUGAGAUGUUGGGUUAAGUCCCGCAACGAGCGCAACCCUUGUCAUUAGUUGCUACGAAAGGGCACUCUAAUGAGACUGCCGGUGACAAACCGGAGGAAGGUGGGGAUGACGUCAAGUCCUCAUGGCCCUUGUGGGUAGGGCUUCACACGUCAUACAAUGGUCGGGACAGAGGGUCGCCAACCCGCGAGGGGGAGCCAAUCCCAGAAACCCGAUCGUAGUCCGGAUUGUAGUCUGCAACUCGACUACAUGAAGUCGGAAUCGCUAGUAAUCGCGGAUCAGCAUGUCGCGGUGAAUACGUUCCCGGGUCUU